CUUAAGAAGAGUAAAGGAAGAUUAUCAGCGGGGGUGACCUAAAUUGGCUUACUUGUGGACGAAUCUCUUGGUAUAAAUACCACCUUUUCUGUAAACUUUUCUCAUUCAUAUACCUGAAGAGAGAGACAGCAGUCUCUGAAAUAUAGUUACUUUCUCUCUACAUUUUGGUGUUUUUAUGGGCUCCUUUUAUUAGAUGGAAUUCUGUUGUUACAGAACAUUUUUACCAGUCAUAUAUAUAUAUAUAUACACACACACACACAUAUAUAUAUAUAUAUAUAUAUAUAUAUAUAUAUAUAUAUAUAUAUAUAUAUAUAUUUUAGGAAAUGAAGAAAACAGGUCAGAAGAUUAAACCGUUUAUUUCAUCGAAAAUUAAAUUCCCGAAGAAGCGACGUCACUCGUUCCAGUGGAGCCCAGAAUCGUAGCAGAAGAGACCGAGAGUUGUUCCUGGACAUAGUAGAUCUAUCCGUAGUAAGGUCUGUGGAAUCCUCCUCCAAAUCCGCCUGGUCUGAAGCCACCUCCGAAGCCUCCGAAACCGCCUGGUCUGAAGCCUCCCCCGAAGCCUCCAAAGCC